UCCACCCACCCAGCUCCUUUUGUCACCCACACAAACACUGCUCAUUUUUAUUCCCUUUGCAUCCUACACGACCAUGACUUGCUGCACUAUGAUUUCCAGAAUCCUGUACAAAUGACGACUCGAGUGUGAAUCAAUUCUUUCUGGAAAAUCCAUAUUUGUUCAAACAUUUAUCGCUCUUUUGACACGAUGUGAAAGCGUUGUGAUAAUGUCUUCAUUGAAGAAGAUAAAUAAAUAAAUGAAGAGCUGGAAUCUCUCCGAAUGCUGCUGGCCCACUUGGCCCUCUACUAAUAUUUUGGGUCCCAUUGUGCAAUCCAACAUCAUCGCCAUUGUUGAUGGAAUGGAAAAGGUCCGAAUUGUCCAGAAUUCACUCAACUCUCGACACCCAUUUUUGAAUGAAUGUUUCCAGUGAAGUUUCCAGUGAAGUCAUUCCACAUUGUUGAGCUGGUAGAGACAUAUUUAGAAGUAAGCAUGUAUGUAUUCAUUUAUAAGCAGUUGCCCCCAGGUUGGGUUGCACUUUCUGCCAUUGUUCGAGAGAGAGAAGUGUUGAUGUUGAUAUCACAAUUUACACUUUGAUAAAUACAACUUGCCCAAUAAUGGAAUGGCUUCGGAAUGGAUGAGAAGCCCUCGCUCGUUCAGAGUGAGUGAGCCCUGUGCGACAAUUGCAGUGGAGCAGAAAGCUGGCUUGUUCUCCUGGACAGCCCUUCGCACAACAUAAAUCAUUUCAUAAAUGGUCCUUUUUAUAGCUCUCUCAUAUCCAAUGACAUCAAAUCCAACGAUGUUCAGGCGAGAUCGAGUUGGAGGAAUCAGAUGCACCAAGUGAUAGGUGCGCACAUUGGAAAGUUGGAUCAGUAUCAUCAAACCCUUUUCCCCUCAUCAAAACGGCUCUAUUCUCCAAUUAACAUGAAAUAGUCGUUUAGGCCACGACCAAAGCCAAACUGAAAUAAAAUUAAACAAUUUAAUCCGCAUUUUGGAUGACUUGCGGAAAAUUUUCGGUCAUAAAAUCCUCAUUUUAUGGAAUUAAAAAACAAGCGGGUAAAAAAUAAAACUCGAGUCAGCAGAUUAAUGAAACAUUGGGUUCCCUUGCUAAUAAGUAGCUCACAAACUUUGGUAAUCAUUAGCAGCCUAUGUAGAAGUAUAAGUCUGAGCUAAUAACUUUACGACGGGGAGGACAAGAACCUGGUCGUUCGUCGUCGUCGCAGGUGUCGCACGAGAAGUGUCGUGUUAUUAGUGACGUGAUAAAUUGCAGUUGAGAGUCAACCCUCCUCCUCCUCCAGAGACUGAAAAGCAUUUUGUGAGAUUCACACUUUUCUCGUCCCCGUGUUCACGAGAUGAUUUGAUAUGACGUGAUAUAAAAUAAAUGAUCCCCUUUUGGCACAACCCGUCAUUAAAUAUCUAAACUAGCAUCGCAUCCAGCACAGCCAACGCUCAACCCUUUCGCCCCCUCUCACUCAUAAAUACACUCAUUUCUCAACUAAACACUGUUUGCUUUUGAUUACAAACAUUUGAAUCAAUAUUGAAGGCUGAGUUCUGCAGGAAAUGUAUGAUGGAUACUGAAAUACGCAGCAGCAGUCGUGGUAUGCACCGGGUGCGUUUUAUUGCUUAUUGAGAAAGCCAGCCUUCCUUUAAUCACUUCAUUCCUUCGUCGUCGGACUGGGGUUUCAACUUCACCACUUUCACAAAGGAGCGAUAAACAUAAACUCACGAAUAAUAUGUGAGUGAAGGGCGUUGAACAUUUUCUAAUGCAGUGAAGAAUAAGGAACGACUCACUUUAUUGAGGAUCAGUUGUUGCUGAUUAGUGCCCAGCUUAUAGAUAAAUAUGUUUUGAAAGUGUUGUUAUAUAGUUUUCCAGCUAAUAAAUGGUCCAAAAUAUAAUGCCAACAAUCGUGA